GGCGGAUGUAGCCAAGUGGAUCAAGGCAGUGGAUUGUGAAUCCACCAUGCGCGAGA
rnacentral:tRNA from 1 species